GAUGAAGAACGUAGCGAAAUGCGAUAAGUAGUGUGAAUUGCAGAAUUCAGUGAAUCAUCGAAUCUUUGAACGCACAUUGCGCCCCUUGGUAUCCCGAGGGGCAUGCCUGUUCGAGCGUCAUUUCACCACUCAAGCCUGGCUUGGUGUUGGGCGACGUCCCCUUUGGGGACGCGCCUCGAAACGCUCGGCGGCGUGGCACCGGCUUUAAGCGUAGCAGAAUCUUUCGCUUUGGAAGUCGGGGCCCCGUCUGCCGGAAGACCUACUCGCAAGGUUGACCUCGGAUCAGGCAGGGAUACCCGCUAAACUUAAGCAUAUCAAUAAGCGGAGGA
rnacentral:misc_RNA from 1 species